rnacentral:snRNA from 1 species
AGCUUUGUGCAGUGGUAGUAUAGCAGCCAAUGAGGUUUAUCCAAGGCAUGAUUAUUGCUCAUAAAAAUUUUCAGAAGACAAA